rnacentral:rRNA from 1 species
UCGUCAGCUCGUGUCGUGAGAUGUUGGGUUAAGUCCCGCAACGAGCGCAACCCUUGCCUUUAGUUGCCAGCAUUAAGUUGGGCACUCUAGAGGGACUGCCGAGGAUAACUCGGAGGAAGGUGGGGAUGACGUCAAAUCAUCAUGCCCCUUAUGCUUAGGGCUACACACGUGCUACAAUGGGUGGUACAGAGGGUUGCCAAACCGUGAGGUGGAGCUAAUCCCUUAAAGCCAUUCUCAGUUUGGAUUGUAGGCUGAAACUCGCCUACAUGAAGCUGGAGUUACUAGUAAUCGCAGAUCAGAAUGCUGCGGUGAAUGCGUUCCCGGGUCUUGUACACACCGCCCGUCACACCAUGGGAGUUGGGGGCGCCCGAAGCCGGUUAGCUAACCUUUUAGGAGGCAACCGUCGAAGGUGAAACCAAUGACUGGGGUGAAGUCGUAACAAGGUAGCCGUA